UCCUAGCUGUAAAGCAUGCGGGCCAGGUGUCUAGCGCUCCUUGAGGGCGCUAGGUGCCGGAGGGAAGCCGUUAAGCCCGCCGCCUGGGAAGUACGGCCGCAAGGCUGAAACUUAAAGAAAUUGGCGGGGGAGCACCACAAGAGGUGGGACCUGCGGUUCAAUUGGAUUCAACGCCGGAAAACUCACCAGGGGCGACAGUUGGAUGAAAGCCAGGUUGACGAUCUUGCCAGACUAGCUGAGAGGUGGUGCAUGG
rnacentral:rRNA from 1 species